rnacentral:piRNA from 1 species
UGAAGAGAUUCCACUCAAUCAGCUUUAAAAAG